rnacentral:rRNA from 1 species
UACGUAGGUGUCGAGCGUUGUCCGGAUUUAUUGGGCGUAAAGCGCCCGCAGGCGGCUUGCCAAGUUUGAAGUGAAAUCUCCCGGCUCAACUGGGAGGGUGCUUCGAAAACUGGCAGGCUUGAGGCAGGGAGAGGGAUGUGGAAUUCCCGGUGUAGUGGUGAAAUGCGUAGAUAUCGGGAGGAACACCAGUGGCGAAGGCG